UUUGUACUCCCUCCGUCCCGAAAUUCUUGUCUUAGAUUUGUCUAGAUACAAAUAUAUCUAAUACUACAAUGUAAUUUGAUACAUCUGUAUUUAAAUAAAUCUAAGACAAGAAUUUUAGAACGGAGGAAAUAGUAU
rfam:Triticum aestivum genome assembly, contig: Triticum_aestivum_CS42_TGACv1_scaffold_030532_1BL